AUGAAGGCCUCUGGGUUGUAAACUUCUUUUAUAGGGGACGAAAAAAGGGCAUUCUUGCUCACUUGACGGUACCCUAGGAAUAAGCACCGGCUAACUCCGUGC
rnacentral:rRNA from 1 species